rnacentral:rRNA from 1 species
CAUGUCUUUUUGUAGUUAAUAUAAAGUCUAAUCUGCCCACUGAAUAUUUUUUGAAGGGCCGCAGUAACCUGACUGUGCAAAGGUAGCAUAAUCAUUUGUCUUUUAAUUGAAGGCUGGUAUGAAUGAUUGGACGAGGUAAAAACUGUCUCAUUAUUAAAAUAAUAAAAAUUUAGCUUUUUAGUUAAAAGGCUAAAAUUUUUUUGAAGGACGAGAAGACCCUAUAGAUCUUUAUAAAAAAUUGAUUUAAUAUAUUUUUAUAUCAAAAACUUUUUGAAUUAUUUUUUUAUUUUGUUGGGGUGACAUGAAAAUUAAUUUAACUUUUCAUAAUUUUAUUACAUUAAUUAAUGUUUUUAUGAUCCAUUAUUAUUGAUUAAAAGAAUAAGUUACCUUAGGGAUAACAGCGUUAUUUUAUUGGAGAGUUCAUAUUGAUAAUAAAGUUUGCGACCUC